AUACGUAGGUGGCAAGCGUUGUCCGGAUUUAUUGGGCGUAAAGCGAGCGCAGGCGGAAAAAUAAGUCUAAUGUGAAAGCCCUCGGCUUAACCGAGGAACUGCAUCGGAAACUGUUUUUCUUGAGUGCAGAAGAGGAGAGUGGAACUCCAUGUGUAGCGGUGGAAUGCGUAGAUAUAUGGAAGAACACCAGUGGCGAAGGCGGCUCUCUGGUCUGCAACUGACGCUGAGGCACGAAAGCGUGGGGAGC
rnacentral:rRNA from 1 species